UGCGUAGGUGGUCCUUCAAGUCGGUGGUUAAAGGCUACGGCUCAACCGUAGUAAGCCGCCGAAACUGGAGGACUUGAGUGCAGGAGAGGAAAGUGGAAUUCCCAGUGUAGCGGUGAAAUGCGUAGAUAUUGGGAGGAACACCAGUAGCGAAGGCGGCUUUCUGGACUGCAACUGACACUGAGGCACGAAAGCGUGGGUAGCAAACA
rnacentral:rRNA from 1 species